GGUUAACCGUAUAGGGGAGCCGAAGGGAAACCGAGUCUUAACUGGGCGUUAAGUUGCAGGGUAUAGACCCGAAACCCGGUGAUCUAGCCAUGGGCAGGUUGAAGGUUGGGUAACACUAACUGGAGGACCGAACCGACUAAUGUUGAAAAAUUAGCGGAUGACUUGUGGCUGGGGGUGAAAGGCCAAUCAAACCGGGAGAUAGCUGGUUCUCCCCGAAAGCUAUUUAGGUAGCGCCUCGUGAAUUCAUCUUCGGGGGUAGAGCACUGUUUCGGCUAGGGGGUCAUCCCGACUUACCAACCCGAUGCAAACUGCGAAUACCGAAGAAUGUUAUCACGGGAGACACACGGCGGGUGCUAACGUCCGUCGUGAAGAGGGAAACAACCCAGACCGCCAGCUAAGGUCCCAAAGUCAUGGUUAAGUGGGAAACGAUGUGGGAAGGCACAGACAGCCAGGAUGUUGGCUUAGAAGCAGCCAUCAUUUAAAGAAAGCGUAAUAGCUCACUGGUCGAGUCGGCCUGCGCGGAAGAUGUAACGGGGCUAAACCAUGCACCGAAGCUGCGGCAGCGACACUAUGUGUUGUUGGGUAGGGGAGCGUUCUGUAAGCCGUUGAAGGUGUACUGUGAGGUAUGCUGGAGGUAUCAGAAGUGCGAAUGCUGACAUAAGUAACGAUAAUGCGGGUGAAAAACCCGCACGCCGGAAGACCAAGGGUUCCUGUCCAACGUUAAUCGGGGCAGGGUGAGUCGACCCCUAAGGCGAGGCCGAAAGGCGUAGUCGAUGGGAAACAGGUUAAUAUUCCUGUACUUGGUGUUACUGCGAAGGGGGGACGGAGAAGGCUAUGUUAGCCGGGCGACGGUUGUCCCGGUUUAAGCAUGUAGGCGGAGGUUCCAGGUAAAUCCGGUACCUUUUUAACGCUGAGGUGUGAUGACGAGGCACUACGGUGCUGAAGUAACAAAUGCCCUGCUUCCAGGAAAAGCCUCUAAGCAUCAGGUAACAUCAAAUCGUACCCCAAACCGACACAGGUGGUCAGGUAGAGAAUACCAAGGCGCUUGAGAGAACUCGGGUGAAGGAACUAGGCAAAAUGGUGCCGUAACUUCGGGAGAAGGCACGCUGAUAUGUAGGUGAAGCGGUUUACCCGUGGAGCUGAAAUCAGUCGAAGAUACCAGCUGGCUGCAACUGUUUAUUAAAAACACAGCACUGUGCAAACACGAAAGUGGACGUAUACGGUGUGACGCCUGCCCGGUGCCGGAAGGUUAAUUGAUGGGGUUAUCCGUAAGGAGAAGCUCUUGAUCGAAGCCCCGGUAAACGGCGGCCGUAACUAUAACGGUCCUAAGGUAGCGAAAUUCCUUGUCGGGUAAGUUCCGACCUGCACGAAUGGCGUAAUGAUGGCCAGGCUGUCUCCACCCGAGACUCAGUGAAAUUGAACUCGCUGUGAAGAUGCAGUGUACCCGCGGCAAGACGGAAAGACCCCGUGAACCUUUACUAUAGCUUGACACUGAACACUGGUCCUUGAUGUGUAGGAUAGGUGGGAGGCUUUGAAGUGUGGACGCCAGUCUGCAUGGAGCCAUCCUUGAAAUACCACCCUUUAAUGGCUGGUGUUCUAACGUGGACCCGUAAUCCGGGUUGCGGACAGUGUCUGGUGGGUAGUUUGACUGGGGCGGUCUCCUCCUAAAGAGUAACGGAGGAGCACGAAGGUUAGCUAAUCCUGGUCGGACAUCAGGAGGUUAGUGCAAAGGCAUAAGCUAGCUUGACUGCGAGAGUGACGGCUCGAGCAGGUGCGAAAGCAGGUCUUAGUGAUCCGGUGGUUCUGAAUGGAAGGGCCAUCGCUCAACGGAUAAAAGGUACUCCGGGGAUAACAGGCUGAUACCGCCCAAGAGUUCAUAUCGACGGCGGUGUUUGGCACCUCGAUGUCGGCUCAUCACAUCCUGGGGCUGAAGUAGGUCCCAAGGGUAUGGCUGUUCGCCAUUUAAAGUGGUACGCGAGCUGGGUUUAGAACGUCGUGAGACAGUUCGGUCCCUAUCUGCCGUGGGCGCUGGAGAAUUGAGGGGGGCUGCUCCUAGUACGAGAGGACCGGAGUGGACGCAUCACUGGUGUUCGGGUUGUCAUGCCAAUGGCAUUGCCCGGUAGCUAAAUGCGGAAGAGAUAAGUGCUGAAAGCAUCUAAGCACGAAACUUGCCCCGAGAUGAGUUCUCCCUGAGACU
rnacentral:rRNA from 1 species